rnacentral:rRNA from 1 species
GGCUCCGGCCCUAUCAGCCUGAAGGCGCCCGAUCUCGUCUGAUCUCGGAAGCUAAGCAGGGUCGGGCCUGGUUAGGAUCUUGGAUGGGAGAACACCUGGGAAUCCCGGGUGCUCGAGGCU